UACGGAGGGGGCUAGCGUUGUUCGGAAUUACUGGGCGUAAAGCGCACGUAGGCGGCUUUGCAAGUCAGUGGUGAAAGCCCGAGGCUCAACUUCGGGUCGGCCACUGAUACUGCGGGGCUCGAGUCGACUAGAGGCAGAUGGAAUUCCGGGUGUAGCGGUGGAAUGCGUAGAGAUCCGGAAGAACACCGGUGGCGAAGGCGGUCUGCUGGGGUCGAACUGACGCUGAGGAGCGAAAGCAUGGGGAGCGAACAGG
rnacentral:rRNA from 1 species